CCCCGCGGGCGCCGGUGGACGCUGGCAGCCUUGCCGGUGCACAUCCUGCGCUGGGAGGCUCCAGCCGUGAUUAGCAGGAAGAGGAAGAAACAGCGACACGAGAAAAUUCGUUGCUACUUCAGCAAGAUCGCCAGGCGUUUCGCCAGACGGCCCCGGCACGGCCGGGUGGCAGCGCCGAUCCCAGCAGCCGUGCCGACAGCCGCCGGCUGGCGGUGCUGCCCGGCCGGCGGUCCCGAGCGCCGGGGAGCCCUGGGCGGCUCACGCCUCUUCUCAAGACAAGAAUGUGCAAGUGGCUGCAAGGAGCAAUACGGGAAGGAAAAACCAUGGCUCGAUCCAGCGGCCCGAGCGAGUGCAGAACGCAGAAGUGAGCCCACCAGCAUCCGCGCAUUACCAUUUCUGCGGAUAACUUGCGCGAGGUCUUGCCCGGGAGCCCUGGGCACGGGAGGCGCUGCCCGAGUCACCACGGUACAUCUCCAGGCAUUUCCGCAGCGCUGAUAAGUAAAGAAAACUUUCCGGUAUUACCCAUCUGCGUCAUCAUGGCUUUAACGGACAUCGCCUUCCUUCGGGGCUCUCUGGUCCUGCCGGAUCUUUCAGCGCACAGCUCAAAACCUUUGGUUCAAACCGCCACCGAGCUGAGAUGGAAGGAGCAGACAUUUUGAAUAACAUUUCAUUUGUUUGCGAAGGGUCCUCUUUCAGUCUAUGGCUUCUCUGAAUUAUGCGUCGUUACUGUAAUAUUUCUUAAAUGCACGCUCUGUGCGAAGUCAGGCCAUGUGAUUUGUGUGAACUUUUUAAUAAGGCCUCGCUCAGGCUGCCUCACAUUUAUGUGUAAAUGACUACUCAUUUCCUGAAUCCUUAUCCAACUGGCUUGUGCAGUUGCUGCCAUUAAUGGUUUUAACAGCAUUUAAAUUGUCUUGAUCUGUCUGUGAGUUGUACUGGUCAAGGAGCAGUUGUUUGCCACAUCCAUCAUUGCUGCCUUGGUCUAACCUCCAAGGUUUCCUUUGCUGGCAGCAGUUAAUGCUGUCGGCAGCUACCCCGGGCACGGUGGGGCUCUCCCUAGCUGUGGCAGGGUGUGAGCCCUCUGCGUAUGGGGCAGUUCCCACAGGAACAGACGCAUUUUGUUACCGACCAAAUUAUUUGCCUAUUCCUCCUCCUGAGAGUGCUUUUUGCUGCCUCCGUGGCGAAUUUGUCAGAUUGAAAUGAGUGUUGGUUUGUGUGCAAAAUGAUAGGAAUUUUUGUUCGCAAAGCUGAGAGCAAACUAAUAAAAAUAUUAAAGUAAAAUCGCUAGCUAGCCUAAGACUGUGCAACACUAGUUUUGUUUAAAUUUUGCUGAUGGGAGAGGGUGUCUCUCAACCCAAGCAGAAACCUCUUGAGGAGUAUUUCUUCUAACGUGUGCAAGACUCCAGUUGUCCCAGAGUGUGCCAAAACGAAGUGCAGGCGGUGGAGUAUUUUCUUCUAGUUAAAACCAAAUCACACUUCAUACCAGAAUCAUCCCUGGACCAGGUUCCCUGCAGCAAGGAGAGCUCUGCGCAGCCUGAAACCCUUUGCAUUUCUAGAGUUUCUCCUGGGGCUAGCGAGGCUACUCCACCACUGCCCAGGGUGGCUUUGCUGGACUGGCUGAAGUUUCCGUCCUGGUGAGGUCUGUAGCACUCUGCCUGAGACGAGGAAGAGCAAGUCCUCCUCCUUCAGCCAUGCAAAGCCAUUUCUGCAGCAGGAGCAACGAGCAUCUAUGACCUUCUCUCAAGAGCAGAAGACCCAGCGCAGGCAGCCUGGCUCCAGUGGGGCAGUUGUCAUCCCCGAGCUGGGGCUUUGGCAACCUCUCAUCUUCCUCUCCUGACACAACUGCUGUUCUGCUGGUGCUCCUGGCCAGCAGAAAGCUCUGUGAGACCAUGUUUCUCCAGAAGUGCAAGUUGCAUUUCCAGAAUAGGCUUCUAGAAUACUUCAGUUCCCGCUUUCUGUUGCUACUGCUGCAGAUCAAGCCCACUUCCCUUUCCCUUCCUGGUUCCUGAGUGUCCUCCUUGGGGGUCAGGCUGGUUUCUACCUCUGCUCAGCUGAACGUGCCUGCAAAACGGGGAGUUUGGGCGCAAGCUGGGCGCACAGCUCUGUGGAGAGGCUGGUGGGCUGCAGGCGACCAGGGAGGCUGCAAGGAGCCGAAGCAAUCGUCCUUGAUUGGAGCAUCCUGACACAAAUGGCAAGAGAAAAACAAAUAGGGAGGGAAAUGAACAAAUUAUACCGAUAAUUGGUUUAAAAAAUGCAUCAAAGAAAAAUGAUAUCCAAUAAUACUGCUGGUUCCUAAUGAAUGUGUAUGUAAUAAAAUCAGGCUGUUUGGGCCGUGGUUAGCCCUGCACUUCACAUCCCCAGAUUAAAAAUGGAACAUCUGUGAUGAUUUAAUUUACAUGUUAAUAACAAACAGGCCUCCAGAAACCAACGAAUAAAUGCCUUUUAUUGCUGGCGUAUCUUUUCCACUGCAGCUUGAAUGAAAACUCUGGUAAUUAAUUGUUUUAAGCGAUUCUAUUAAAAAGU